rnacentral:rRNA from 1 species
UACGAAGGGGGCUAGCGUUGCUCGGAUUGACUGGGCGUAAAGGGCGCGUAGGCGGUUCGUACAGUCAGACGUGAAAUUCCUGGGCUCAACCUGGGAGCUGCGUUUGAUACGUGCGGACUUGAGUGCGGAAGAGGGUCGUGGAAUUCCCAGUGUAGAGGUGAAAUUCGUAGAUAUUGGGAAGAACACCGGUGGCGAAGGCGGCGACCUGGUCCGAUACUGACGCUGAGGCGCGAAAGCGUGGGGAGCGAACAGG